AGGGAGUGGAGAAUGAAAAAGACUUUGUUUAUACGUAUGUCCAUUACGAAUGUUUAUUUUUUGGUGAACCACGAACGAAUGCAACAGAACGAGAGACCAAAACGUUCAAAAGGAAUUGUCCUGCAAUUGUAAAAACGAGACUCAAGGGUAACAAGACUGGUGGUAACCGAGGUCAAUUUGGAACACGAAAAUCACGAAGGCUCUGAGGAACAUUAUCAUAUGCUGCCAAAGAAUCGAACAUUAUCACCAAAAAGGAAAAAGCGCAUUUUUGAGGAACUCGAGAUGGGUGCCAAAU